UAUAGUAUUGGUAUGAACUUUCUAAGUAUGAUCUUAAUUGUGAUUUUUUGUUUUGUUUUUAGUAAUAAGCAAUGAAAAAAUAUUUCAAAAUAAAAUAAAAAGAAACAUGUAGUGUAUCCAUUGAUAUAUUUGCUUUUAAAGUUAUCUCUGAUAUUACUGGGACAACUACAAUAGCUAAAAGAGUUUUCUCUACUAUGAAUAUUAUCAAGAAUCGAAUGUGAAAUCCCAUGGGUGAUGAAUCGUUAAA
rnacentral:lncRNA from 1 species